UCAAUAUGGCGCCUGUCCUGAAUUAUUCGAUGGUCUCUGUGAGGAAAAUCCGUCACGCAUGCGCACUUGAAAUUUAUACACCAAAAAAGGUUUGCCGGCUACAGACCAUCGUCCAACUGAUAAUAGCAAAGUUACAGUCAGUUACCGCCAAAACAAUGAAAAUUUCAAUAAUUUGACCUUCAAUGACAAUGUCAUUAAUGAAUGAAGGUCAAGGUCUUUCGGUAUAUUUUUAACAGUAAUCUUUGAAGAUUAUUAUGUUCAAGUUUCAGGACAAUCCAUUCAAAAAUAACAAACUUACAGCCAAUAAAAGCCAAAAAAAUGAAAAUUUCAAUAAUUUGACCUUCAAAGUCAAGGUCAUUUAUGAGUGAAGGUCAAGGUCUGGCUGGUUAUUUUUAAGGGAUAUCCUUAAAGAUUAUUAUGUUCAUGUUUGAAGACAAUCCAUUCAAAAAUAACAAAGUUAUGCACCUGUCAAUAUUUUGCCCUACCAGGGGGGCGGCGGGCAUACACGGGGCUUUAGACAGAAGACCAUUCCUGACAGGCGGGAAUUUGACAAACUUAUGGAAUCCGGGUCCCGGGUAAUAGACUUUGGCCGGUUUUUAAAUCCCGGGACUCGGGAAUUUCGACGCCACAAAAUGAAAAAGGGGAGUAACUGCGAAAAGGUCAAAAGACGACGGCGAUAUUUUUAUUUGUGUUUUUGAAGUUGCAGACAUGAAACUUUUCGAUUUUUUCUACAGUCCUAGAGAAAAUUGUGGGAUAAGGCGAGAAGGUUGCCCCAGAAUUGGGAUUUAUUUGCAAAGGUGAACAUUUGGUUGGACCAUUUGACGAGUGUUUCUGCCAACAGAAAAAAGGGGCAAGGCAAAGGCGUCCGAGACACAGUCUUUGAAAAAGGUUCAAGCUUCUAUCCAGGCCCAAGCUCCUAUCAAGGUUCAAGCUCCUAUAUAUCCCGACUCAAGCUCCCAUCCAGGCUCCUGCUCCUAUCCAGGUUCUUGAGGAAAGUGCACCAGAUUAAAAACAAUGUGGAAGUUUCCAGGUUUGGCCGCAGGAGGAGGAAGAAUGUCUUUUUAAUGACUUUUUGUGUUAAAUGUUAAAAUAAAAUUAGAAGUUAAAGUGUUGUAAGUUUAUAGCUCAUCUGAGCUGUUAGCACGAAGCUAUUGUAAUCAUGACCGGUGAAUGUCUGUCUUCGCAAAUCUGGUGUCCUCAACUUUUAGUGUUUUAACACUCUAAGAGGCCACAGAUAUGGUUCAAUUAUAAUUAAGCUUGGUCAGCAUGCUAACCAUCCCUACAGAAACUGGGUCAUGUGGAGUCAGAAACUAGGUUAGUAGGUUUAUUUUGUAGCUAAACUAUAAAUGUAAAAUAUUAAAGAGCUUAUAUGAUCGAUUGUGUGUCCGUGUUCGCAUUGGUUUAAGUUUUUUAAGUCAUACAUUCUAUUCUAUGAAAGAUAUUUAAUUGAAACUAGGUACGGUAUUUAGUGGGACUACCACUUCCAUACUAAGAAGGUCUAUAACCUUGAUGCAUUAUUUUCAGAACUAUGCCCCUUUAUUACUUGAAAAUACCCAUUUUUAUAAAAAGAAAAUAUAAGUAUCUUCAAAGUCUAAUUAUUUGAAUACUAUCAAAGUUAUUAAACUACAAUUGAUUGAUACAUAUAUAUUCAUUGGGAGUGACUAUACCUACCUUACUUCUGAGGCCCUUAAUCCGGAUUCAUUAUUUUCCUAAUGAUAAGCCUUUGUACUUAUAUUUUUCAUUGUUUUUCUGAUUACAGUUUUAUUUAUUGAUUGAUCUAUUAGAUAUUUACCCUCUCCCCUACCCCGGGGCAUUUGAUGCACCAAGUAGGCUCAAGGGUGGGGAUUUAGACAAAAUUGGUUAUCUCUAGGGUGGGGAUUUAGACUUCAAACAUUUUAAAAUGUCAAAUUCCCCUGGGUCAGCCCGCCGCCCCCCUGGGCGGGCAUAAUAUUGAUAGGUGCAUUACAGCCAAUAACAGCAUGAACAAGCAAAAAUUGGACUUUUAACCUUGAAGGUCAAGAUCAUUUAUGGAUGAAGGUCAAGGUUAGGGUGGUUUACUGAAAGGUCUUGUCCCAAGGGUUGUUGUGGCCAAGUAUGAAGACAAUACACAAAGAAAUAAAAAAGUUAUGAUCCAGGUACAAGUUUUCGGACGGCAACGGCAACGGCUACGGCAACGGCAACGCCGACCUGACUAUAACAAUAUCUCUAUUUUAAAAAAAAAAAAAAAAGUCGAGCUAAAAAUGACCUCACCUGUCAAUCAGAUAGACAACUUUACAGUCCCUUUUGGCUUUAAUUACCCUUUUUAGAACUUUUCAUCGCUUUGAAUCACUACCAGAGUAUAUCCUUGAUUGAAUUAAAUCACAGUUUCUUUCCACUUUUCGCAUUUUCCUUAACCAAUCUCAAAAUUUCUUUCUCGUAUACGUGACACACCUUUCGUAUUGUCCGCCAUUAAUAUUUAUCAAUCACGUGACUCAGAUCCGAACAUUGGUAGCAAGACAUCUCACCCACCAGACACUUCACUCCUCAAAUUUCGAAGACACUCCACCUCUUAAGACACUUCAUCCCCCAAAAUCAGUAACACACUUCACUCCAAUUUUUUUCUAUAAAGUAAAUAAAACAAGUUGUCAACAACAAAAUGCGUAUAUAUGUUUAUAUUUAUUAUAUUUUUUAGUAUUAUUUGAUUAAAAUUUUUGCUUAUUACCUUUAUUUUUACUAAGUUUAAAGCUGAUAUAGGUUAAUUGGUUGUAUUGCCAUAUGAUAUAUCACAGCACUUUCAUCCAUUAAUUGUUUAUUGCAUGUCAUCUUGUUUAUUCAACAUGUUGAUUAGUUGUUUAUUCAACGGUUAUCUCACAAUUGAUUAGAUAAUUGAAUUAAAAUGGUAUAAUUGUAUGAAAAUUAAAUUUAUUUUCUUAAUAAAUAAAUUAAAUAAAGAAAUACAUAAAAUAAAUAUAAAUGAAUAUGAAUGAAUAAAUUGGUUGCUUUAUAUGCUUUAAUGGUAACAUUCAGUGAUGUAACUCAAGUUCAUUAUAUACUAAGCCAAGCAACAAAACAGAAAUAAAUAAAAAUAAUCUAAAAGUAAUAAGUAAAGAAUACAAACAAAAUAUCAAUAUUGCACACAAAGAACACAAAAAUAAAAGAAUUGAGAAACUUAGAAAUGCCAAAAGUACAAGCCCAAGAGAAUACUGGAAAAUAAUUAACUCUAUUGAUCAAUCUAAAAAUGCAACUAAGGCUACUCUUCAUGACCUAUAUGAUUUUUUCAAAAAGACAAAUGAAGGAGAAAACAUAGAAGAUAAUUCAAUAGAUUCAGAAACUGUUAUAGAAGUAAAUGAAGAAAUAAAUACAGAAAUCACUGAUGAGGAA